AGAGUUUGAUCCUGGCUUAGGACGAACGGCUGGCGGCGUGCCUAACACAUGCAAGUCGAGCGAUGAAGUCUUCGGAACGGAUUAGCGGCGGACGGGUGAGUAACACGUGGGUAACCUGCCUUGUAGAGGGGGAUAGCCUUCCGAAAGGAAGAUUAAUACCGCAUAACAUCUUUUUUAUCGCAUGGUAGAAAGAUCAAAGGAGUAAUCCGGCUACAAGAUGGACCCGCGGCGCAUUAGCUAGUUGGUGAGGUAACGGCUCACCCAAGGCGACGAUGCGUAGCCGACCUGAGAGGGUGAUCGGCCACAUUGGAACUGAGACACGGUCCAGACUCCUACGGGAGGCAGCAGUGGGGAAUAUUGCGCAAUGGGGGAAAAACCCCCUGACGCAGCAACGCCGCGUGAAUGAAGAAGGCCUUAGGGUUGUAAAGUUCUGUUUACGGGGACGAUAAUGACGGUACCCGUGGAGGAAGCCACGGCUAACUACGUGCCAGCCGCUGC
rnacentral:rRNA from 1 species